UACGUAGGGUGCGAGCGUUGUCCGGAAUUACUGGGCGUAAAGGGUGCGUAGGUGGUUUCUUAAGUCAGAGGUGAAAGGCUACGGCUCAACCGUAGUAAGCCUUUGAAACUGGGAAACUUGAGUGCAGGAGAGGAGAGUGGAAUUCCUAGUGUAGCGGUGAAAUGCGUAGAGAUUAGGAAGAACACCAGUGGCGAAGGCGAUUCUCUGGACUGUAACUGACGCUGAGGCUCGAAAGCGUGGGGAGCAAACAGGAUUAGAUACCCCCGUAGUCCCUGAGCGGG
rnacentral:rRNA from 1 species